rnacentral:rRNA from 1 species
AGUGAACGCUGGCGGUAGGCCUAACACAUGCAAGUCGAACGGCAGCACAGUAAGAGCUUGCUCUUACGGGUGGCGAGUGGCGGACUGGUGAGGAAUACAUCGGAAUCUACUUUUUCGUGGGGGAUAACGUAGGGAAACUUACGCUAAUACCGCAUACGACCUACGGGUGAAAGCAGGGGAUCUUCGGACCUUGCGCGAUUGAAUGAGCCGAUGUCGGAUUAGCUAGUUGGCGGGGUAAAGGCCCACCAAGGCGACGAUCCGUAGCUGGUCUGAGAGGAUGAUCAGCCACACUGGAACUGAGACACGGUCCAGACUCCUACGGGAGGCAGCAGUGGGGAAUAUUGGACAAUGGGCGCAAGCCUGAUCCAGCCAUACCGCGUGGGUGGAGAAGGCCUUCGGGUUGUAAAGCCCUUUUGUUGGGAAAGAAAAGCAGCAGGUUAAUACCCCGCUGUUCUGACGGUACCCAAAGAAUAAGCACCGGCUAACUUCGUG